CACGUAGGGCGCAAGCGUUGUCCGGAAUUAUUGGGCGUAAAGGGCUCGUAGGCGGUUUGUCACGUCGGGAGUGAAAACUCAGGGCUCAACCCUGAGCGUGCUUCCGAUACGGGCAGACUAGAGGUAUGCAGGGGAGAACGGAAUUCCUGGUGUAGCGGUGGAAUGCGCAGAUAUCAGGAGGAACACCGGUGGCGAAGGCGGGUCUCUGGGCCGGCACUGACGCUGAGGAGCGAAAGCGUGGGGAGCAAACAGG
rnacentral:rRNA from 1 species